rnacentral:tRNA from 1 species
GCGAUACUAGCUCAGUUGGUAGAGCGCAACCUUGCCAAGGUUGAGGUCACGAGUUCGAACCUCGUGUGUCGCUCCA